rnacentral:lncRNA from 1 species
CGUAGGUCAGCCUGGCAGUGUUAGCUGCUUGCCUGCGAAAGCCCUCCCAGUGCAUGCUUGGUUAAGGCUGGCAGAGCAUUCCAUCCACCACAGAGGCCAAGGGCUUCUUACAUGGACUGGAACUUCCUGUAUCAGGGGAGGCCCCAUGGGGGCUGUAUGGGGUUUCUAAGAAGGCAGGCGCUGGGACCCCAUAGUUUCCACAGCUGAGUGGGCUCCAGUCCCUCAGGAAUGGCAGAAGAGAAAUGAAGAGGGCAGAGAGGAUUGGCUGAGGACGACCCCUCACUGAAGACUGUUCUUUCAGCUCUGGGAAGAGUCAGCACUGGUGCUGUGUGAGGAAGAGAUGCUGUGGGCAGCCAAUGGUCUGAGAGAGCGGUGGUGACCGGAACCAGGACACAGCUGCAAAGUUAUAGAUGUCGGGUGACUCUGAGGCUCGAGGAGAGGAAGACGAAGAUCUGAGCCCGCCAUGAGGGAUCUGAGCUGAGGUGAGAUCAGUCCGGAAGGAUGCACAUCACUGACUCCACAGGCUGUGUGGUAGGAGGGACUGUCCUGACCCAGUGCUGUCUGUCUGUCCUCAGGGGCCAACCUAACCAUCAGCUUUCUGCCUCAGUGGAGAUUCUGCCUGCCCACUUCCUUCCAAAGAGCAGGGUUUGGGGGCACACACGUUGGAUCACUCUCCAGAGGCAUCAGCAAUCAACCCUGUCGCUAUGCACUUGAUCCACGGUUGCUGCUGAGGAGUUCCUGGUUCAUCACGUGGCCGUGCUGAGGAGCCACAGAGAAGCCUCAUUCAAAGUGGAGCGCAAACAACUUGUAGCAAGCCUGAAAGUCGCUAUAAUUGCAGACUGUUGACACUGGUCAUGUGUACACACCUGUGCCCGUGUACAAGCAUAGACUCACCUGCAUGCUGUUAUCUUACCCACUGUGAGGUCGAGGCUAGUGCUGGGACACACACCAGCUCGUGUGAUCCAGCUUCCUUUUCUUUCUCCUCCCUCAGCCCCAAACCCUAAUAAUGAUCACUUAUUGAGUGCCUACUGUGUGGCAGGCAAGAUACCAGCCUGCUGAUUCAUCAAUUUGCACCAAGGUUGUAGGGGUAGAGGAGCUGACUUUCCAAACAUGGCCAAACCGAAUCGAUCCUGUCGAUUAUUAAUAUCUGUGGUAGGUGCAGGAAGGGAGUACUGAUAAAGGUGCUUCAUGUGUGCCUUAAUUUGUGAGGCAUAUAAUAUUGCAUGCUUUCUAUUUAAUCAUGGGUCAUUUAGUAAGUUGCCCCCAAAACUUUUGUGGAAUAAGACUUUGUGUAACUAAGUAACGACCGUUCAUUAUAAAUAAGUAUUGAGUGAUUGGACAUCAGUUAUUUCUGUAGGUAGAAACCUACAGAGGUUAUUGCAGAUGGAAAGAACUGGGUUCCAGGGCUAGAUUGCCGUUAGCCUAUAGAAUGGUUCUGUAUGUAUCAGGAAAGAAUGUCUGUUUGAGGGAUCGUAUCUCAGAGCAUAGCACAGCAUGGAUUUUAGCCCUUUUUACCUCAUUAUCCCAGGUGCUCUUGCU